rnacentral:rRNA from 1 species
GCCAUCAUUAAGUUGGGCACUCUAAGGUGACNGCCGGUGACAAACCGGAGGAAGGUGGGGAUGACGUCAAAUCAUCAUGCCCCUUAUGACCUGGGCUACACACGUGCUACAAUGGACGGUACAAAGAGCUGCAAGACCGCGAGGUGGAGCUAAUCUCAUAAAACCGUUCUCAGUUCGGAUUGUAGGCUGCAACUCGCCUACAUGAAGCUGGAAUCGCUAGUAAUCGCGGAUCAGCAUGCCGCGGUGAAUACGUUCCCGGGCCUUGUACACACCGCCCGUCACACCACGAGAGUUUGUAACACCCGAAGUCGGUGGGGUAACCUUUUUGGAGCCAGCCGCCUAAGGUGGGACAGAUGAUUGGGGUGAUGUCGUAAC